UACGGGAGGCAGCAGUAGGGAAUUUUCCACAAUGGACGAAAGUCUGAUGGAGCAACGCCGCGUGAACGAUGAAGGUCUUCGGAUUGUAAAGUUCUGUUGUCAGGGACGAACAAGUACCGUUCGAAUAGGGCGGUACCUUGACGGUACCUGACGAGAAAGCCACGGCUAACUACGUGCCAGCAGCCGCGGUAAU
rnacentral:rRNA from 2 species